AUUGAAAUUUUUUUCUAUAUUAAAAAAAUAUUCAGAUAUUUUUUCUGAUAUCUUACAUGGCUCCGUGAUUGCAACUCUCUUGUCUUAUUAGAGACACUUCUUACAUGAAAACAUGUGCAAUUCUUACAUGAAAACAUCAAAGGGAACUUGUAUACAUCUUUGUUAUAAAUCAGACAGAAUAAAGCAAAUUAUAGGUAGAAAGAAAAACAAGAGCACACAGAUUUAUGUGAAAAUCCUUGCGGAAAGAAUCACGCGAAAAGGCAGAGGAAUUUCACUAUGAAAGGAGGGGAGUACAAUGUGGAGCACGAUGUAAUUUCUGAAAGUCCAAAACCGACCCACUAAUUGCACUUAUAUAAUACGUGCAUACAAAUAGAUCCUAGGCCCAAAAACAUAUAUCGGAUCGAUCCCUACGCUAUCACCACAGACCGCAUUGAAAAUCACAAACAUGGAUCGCACCGCGAAACUUUCAGGGCCGGAUCAAUAAAAUUUGGAUCACAACUCUUACAAUCUUGCAUGUGGAAGCAUCAAGAAUUUUGAGCACAUUGUUGUUGUGUUAUGAUCUCAUCGAUGUAAAAAAUGUACCAUUUAAAAAUUAUGUUACAUACACGAAUGAAUAUUUUGUUUCAAAAUGCAUUUAAA
rnacentral:lncRNA from 1 species